UUCCAUCCCGGGGAGGUCGGUGUGUAAGACAGUGGAGGACUACUGCGCAUGUGUGACUGGAAGUUGGCAGGCCCUAGGAGUAGGUAACCCAAAACACUCGAAGAGCCACUUGGACCCAUUUACAACGGAAAACAUCUUUUAUGACUCAUGGACUUCUACUCCCAGAAUUCCUGAGUCAGCAUAGCUGGGCUAGCUAGCUCUCUCCUGCCCUUCCUGCUUCCUGCAGAGACGCAGCAAAAGGAGGAGUGCCAUCCAGUAAGCUUUUUAGCUCAUCGGAGAACACUCUGUGCUUUUUAGGAUUGAGAGAACAGAGGGCGACUUGGGCUUCUACUGGAUUACAAGUCCCAUCAGCCACCUCUGGGGUGCUGAUGGGGAUCGUCCCUUCUUCCAACAGAGAACUUUAUCUUGUUGAGCAGGAAAAUGCUUAAAAUGCUGUUUUAAAAAAAACUGAAAAUUUUAUAAAUGCAAAAUAAAAUAAAGAUUACAUGCAGAAUUUA